rnacentral:rRNA from 1 species
GCCCUACGGGUGGCAGCAGUGGGGAAUCUUAGACAAUGGGCGCAAGCCUGAUCUAGCCAUGCCGCGUGAGCGAUGAAGGCCUUAGGGUUGUAAAGCUCUUUCAGUGGGGAAGAUAAUGACGGUACCCACAGAAGAAGCCCCGGCUAACUCCGUGCCAGCAGCCGCGGUAAUACGGAGGGGGCUAGCGUUGUUCGGAAUUACUGGGCGUAAAGCGCACGUAGGCGGACCAGAAAGUCAGGGGUGAAAUCCCGGGGCUCAACCCCGGAACUGCCUUUGAAACUCCUGGUCUUGAGGUCGAGAGAGGUGAGUGGAAUUCCGAGUGUAGAGGUGAAAUUCGUAGAUAUUCGGAGGAACACCAGUGGCGAAGGCGGCUCACUGGCUCGAUACUGACGCUGAGGUGCGAAAGCGUGGGGAGCAAACAGGAUUAGAUACCCGGGUAGUCUG